UAACGGGAGGCAGCAGUAGGGAAUCUUCCACAAUGGACGCAAGUCUGAUGGAGCAACGCCGCGUGAGUGAAGAAGGUUUUCGGAUCGUAAAGCUCUGUUGUUGGUGAAGAAGGACAAGGGUAGUAACUGAUCUUUGUUUGACGGUAAUCAACCAGAAAGUCACGGCUAACUACGUGCCAGCAGCCGCGGUAAUACGUAGGUGGCAAGCGUUGUCCGGAUUUAUUGGGCGUAAAGCGAACGCAGGCGGGAAGAUAAGUCAGCUGUGAAAGCCCCCAGCUUAACUGGGGAACUGCAGCUGAAACUAUGUUUCUUGAGUGCAGAAGAGGAGAGUGGAACUCCAUGUGUAGCGGUGGAAUGCGUAGAUAUAUGGAAGAACACCAGUGGCGAAGGCGGCUCUCUGGUCUGUAACUGACGCUGAGGUUCGAAAGCAUGGGUAGCGAACAGGAUUAGAUACCCUGGUAGUCCAUGCCGUAAACGAUGAGUGCUAAGUGUUGGGAGGUUUCCGCCUCUCAGUGCUGCAGCUAACGCAUUAAGCACUCCGCCUGGGGAGUACGACCGCAAGGUUAAAACUCAAAGGAAUUGACGGGGGCCCNCACAANCGGUG
rnacentral:rRNA from 1 species